rnacentral:rRNA from 1 species
UACAGGGGGUGCAAACGUUGCUCGGAAUUAUUGGGCGUAAAGCGCGCGUAGGCGGCCACUUAAGUCGGAUGUGAAAGCCCCUGGCUCAACUGGGGAAGUGCACCCGAAACUGAAUGGCUUGAAUACAAAAGAGGGUCGCGGAAUUCCCGGUGUAGAGGUGAAAUUCGUAGAUAUCGGGAGGAGCACCGGUGGCGAAGGCGGCGACCUGGGUUGAUAUUGACGCUGAGGCGCGAAAGCGUGGGGAGCAAACAGG